rnacentral:rRNA from 1 species
UGCCAUCCGCCGCGGUAAUACAGAGGUCUCAAGCGUUGUUCGGAAUUACUGGGCGUAAAGCGUGCGUAGGCGGCGGGGUAAGUCAGAUGUGAAAUCUCCGGGCUCAACCUGGAAACUGCAUCCGAUACUGCUCCGCUAGAGUAGUGGAGGGGAGUCUGGAAUUCACGGUGUAGCAGUGAAAUGCGUAGAGAUCGUGAGGAACACUAGUGGCGAAGGCGAGACUCUGGACACUUACUGACGCUGAGGCACGAAGGCUAGGGUAGCGAAAGGGAUUAGAUA